ensembl:antisense Adap2os ArfGAP with dual PH domains 2, opposite strand
AGGCAGGGUGACCUCUGCUAAGGAUCCCAGGACAGGGUUUUCUUGUGAGAAAAAGGACAAGGGUGUGAGGGAAUCUGCCCAGAGGGUAGAGCCAGCCUCUACUAUUCUGCUAGGACCAAACUCCUCCUGAAGUUCAUGAGGACUGCUACAUAGAGGAACUUGGUGGAGUAGGGACUUUUUGGCCAAAAAAAAAAAAAGCUGAGUCAGGCCCCUCUGGGACUGUAGUGAAGGAGCCCUUUUCUGCCCUCACCCAAAAGAACCCCCACCCAUCCCCCACUUCUCACUGAGGAGGUGGAGGGGUGACAAGGGACUGGACAAGACGCCCCGCAGACUCUCUAGCCAUUCUCGCUGUUCCUUUUCAGUGGGGCAGGUGAAGAUGAAUUUCCGCUCCGGAGUGAUGACGAAAAACCUGGCCCAGCUCAAAAGCAUCCUGAAAAUGGAAGGCAUAGAGUCAUCAGAGGCCUUGGGGCAGAAGAGCCCUUGCAGCCUGGCCAGUCCCAAGGUCAAGUUUGGUAAAGAGGUGUACGUGGUCCAAAGGUUAGGACUGAAUGGCCUGGGCACAGGAGUGACCUAGAACUGUACAUCUGACCCAAACAGGUCACCUGGAGCUCUGGGUUGCUCUGAGCUGUAUAGGCCAAAAGUUAGAGACCGACUGGAAGCCCUCCCUGGUGCUUGCUGGGCAGGACAGCAAGCACCUGCAAGAGGAUUCGCGGCCAGCUGCAGUUAUUAGUCAGCCUGAGAGAAAGAUGGCUGACAAGAGCCAUGAGAGUAUAGACCCAGUCACACAUGAGUCCCCGGUGUGGCUUCUCCAUCCUUCUCCUUUUCCUUGGUCAUGUUUGAGCUCCUGGUAUUAUGAUCUUCUUCUUUUUCUUCCCUCUUGUUUCCUCUUUUAUAAAAAAAAUAUACAUUUAUU